GUGCUCCUUGAAAAGGGUGAUGGCGAUAUGGGCACUAACGUGCAGUACUUCUCAGCAAUGGCCAUCAUGGAGAUUGCCCGUGUCGCUGAACACAGCCUCGUGCUGCGCCAAUCAGCAUUCAAACCCAGUUCCCCAGCAGCCAAGGCUGUUGUUGAUCAGCUGCUUCGUGUUGUCCGCAGGGGUGAAUACGAUGCAUUGCUUCUCCCAUGCAUCACUGCCCUUGGCUGCCUUGCCCGUACCUUCACAGCAAGUGAGACCAGGAUAGUGCCUCCUCUUGUGCAGCUUCUCGAUGAGCGUGAGCCUCCAGUCAUUAAGGAGGCUGUUGUUGCGCUCACAAAGUUUGCAUGCACUGAGAACCACCUACAUGUGAAUCACUGCAAGGCCAUUGUUGAUGAUGGUGGUGCGCGGCACCUUGUCCAGCUUGUCUACCUGGGUGAUGAGGUGCAAAUUGAGGCGCUCAUACUACUCUGUUACAUUGCAUUGUAUGUGCCUGAGAGCGAGGAACUCGCACAAGCUGGUGUGCUGGCUGUGCUGCUUUGGGCAUCAAAGCAGGCUCACAUGGUUCAAGACAUGCGUGUUGAGGCACUGCUUCCAGAUGCCAAAGGAAGACUUGAGCUGUUCCAGUCUAGGGCCUCCAGGUGAUGUUGGAGAUCGGAUCAUUGGGCAUCGGUUAGUUCUUUAUUGCAAUGUGUAAUUAUAGUAGAAUUAUUCCCAUCAUCUGUAAUUGCUCUUGUGAGGUAUGGUACAUUUUAGGGACAUUUACAUUUCGCCCACUAGUCUGGACGCGCUGCUCAAAUCUACCCCCGCCCAAAUUCUCUAAUCAGUUUUCCCCUCCCACCUCCACACUUUGCUCAGAAAUCACCUCACGGCGCUAUAUUCUCCCGUCAAAGGCUCUUACAGGUGGACCCGACACCUUACAAGUGGGACCCGCUCCCCUUUCCCCUUUCCCCUUUCCCCUGCUUCUCUUCCCAACGCACGCUCCCAGCUUCUCUUCCCAAAUUGAAACGCACGCUCCCAGGUUCCCUGCAGCGGCCCAUCCAUCGCCCUCCACCACUCAGCCGGCGAGCUCCUCGACGGCGCGCUCCUCGACGGCGCGCCCCGGCGAGCUCCUCGACGAGCUCCUCGACGGCGAGUCCCCGGCGAGCUCCUCGACGUGCCCUUCUCCGGCGCGCGGCACGGCAAGGGUGUCCAGGCGGCCAUCACCGGCGUUCAAGGGUGUCCAGGCGCGGCACGGCGCGGGUCGCAGACGUGCGCGGGCAGAUCCUUGCCGUGCGCGGGCAGGUCCCGGCGCUCGACGGCGCGCCCCGCAGCCGCAGGAGCCGUUCGCCCGGGCCGCACGGCAGGCGGAUCUCGGCCUCCGCGGGCGCUCCGGCGGGCGGAUCUCGGCCUGCGCGUGUGCUCCAGCGGGCGGCUUCUACGCGGGCGGAUCUCGGCCGCCGCGGUGUGCUCCGGCUGGCGGAUCUCGGCCGCCGCGGUGUGCUCCGGCUGACGGCUUCUACGCGGGCGCUUCGGCGGGCGGAUCUCGGCCGCCGCGGUGUGCUCCGGCGGGCAGCUUCUACGCGGGCGAGCUCGACGCGGGGGUGGGCACGGCUGGGAGCAGCCAGCCGCAAGCGAGCUCGACGCGGAGCGAGCGCUUCUCCGGCGAGCUUCUCGAGAGACAGGCAGCAUCCUCCAGUAAGCCCCAAACGUCGGUCGGCUCCUAGUGUGAGCAUCCAUAGAGAAUGUCGCGUGCGAGCUCAUCCAACAGAUUGCAAGGUUUUCCCAGCUUCGACCAUGUCCCUCUCGUCCAGUGUCCUGAUUGCACCCGGUCAGAGCCAUUGGUUAGGCUCAGGACGAAAAAAUCAGAAAACGGCAACUACGGCAGAGAAUUCGUAAAGUGCGAAAGCAAAUCACAACCCGGCAAGAUCCUUAAGAAGUGCAACUUUUUUAUGUGGAUGGAUGAGUACAUCGAAUGGUUGCGCUUGAGUGGUAUGACUAAACAGACAUGGUCCAGUUUUGAGCAAGAACAAGGUGCUACGCAAUUGAUGGUGAAUAAUUGUGGAGCAGAGUUAUGUGGUGCAGAUAAAGGAGAUGUGUCUGUGAAGUUGGACAUUCUAGCAAUUGAAUUGAUGAAGAUAAAUGGCAACCUCAACAAAAUUAUUUACAUUUUAGUCAUUUGUGCUUUUAUGAUAUUUGUUGUUUUACUUUUUAUUAUGAACCAAGGUGGUAAGCACUAGAAAUUUGUAAGCUCUAUGCACUAUGGAUGAACUAUGGAUGAAGUAAGUUGUAAGCACUAUGGAUGAACUAUGACAUCAAAUAGCUAACUAAUGAAGAAUCCAAUAAUAUUUAUUUAGGUAU